rnacentral:rRNA from 1 species
UAGGGAAUCUUCCGCAAUGGACGAAAGUCUGACGGAGCAACGCCGCGUGAGUGAAGAAGGAUUUCGGUUCGUAAAACUCUGUUGUUAGGGAAGAAAAAAUGUAUAGUAACUAUAUACAAAAGAGACGGUACCUAACCAGAAAGCCACGGCUAACUACGUGCCAGCAGCCGCGGUAAUACGUAGGUGGCAAGCGUUGUCCGGAAUUAUUGGGCGUAAAGCGCGCGCAGGUGGUUUAGAAAGUCUGAUGUGAAAGCCCACGGCUUAACCGUGGAAGUGCAUUGGAAACUGGGAAGCUUGAGUACAGAAGAGGAAAGUGGAACUCCAUGUGUAGCGGUGGAAUGCGUAGAUAUAUGGAAGAACACCAGUGGCGAAAGCGACUUUCUGGUCUGUCACUGACGCUGAGGCCCGAAAGCGUGGGUAGCAAACAGG